GACGAACGCUGGCGGCGUGCUUAACACAUGCAAGUCGAACGGAAAGGCCCUGCUUUUGUGGGGUGCUCGAGUGGCGAACGGGUGAGUAACACGUGAGUAACCUGCCCUUGACUUUGGGAUAACUUCAGGAAACUGGGGCUAAUACCGGAUAGGAGCUCCUGCUGCAUGGUGGGGGUUGGAAAGUUUCGGCGGUUGGGGAUGGACUCGCGGCUUAUCAGCUUGUUGGUGGGGUAGUGGCUUACCAAGGCUUUGACGGGUAGCCGGCCUGAGAGGGUGACCGGACACCGGGGGCGGUGGAGACCGCGCGGACGAGUACGGUAGGCGAAGGUGGGGAAUAGGGCACAGUGGGCGGGAGCCGGAUGCAGCAACGCCGUGUGCGGGGAGACGUGAGUCGGGGAGGAAAGCACAAGCGCCGGUGACGAAACGGGAAUGACGGUAAGGGGUAAAGAAGCAGCGGCGAACUCCGUG
rnacentral:rRNA from 1 species